rnacentral:ncRNA from 1 species
CAGAGUAGGAUAAGCGCGUUAAGUGCCGACGGAUGGGAGGUCGCCGUCGGACGAAGCACGGUUCCGUGCGCGGUGCUUGUCCGCAUCCGCUGC